rnacentral:rRNA from 1 species
UACGGAGGGUGCAAGCGUUAUCCGGAUUCACUGGGUUUAAAGGGUGCGUAGGUGGGUAGGUAAGUCAGUGGUGAAAUCCCCGAGCUUAACUUGGGAACUGCCGUUGAUACUAUCUAUCUUGAAUAUCGCGUAGGUAAGCGGAAUAUGUCAUGUAGCGGUGAAAUGCUUAGAUAUGACAUAGAACACCAAUUGCGAAGGCAGCUUACUUCACGAUUAUUGACACUGAGGCGCGACAGCGUGGGGAGCAAACAGG